rnacentral:rRNA from 2 species
AACCUGCUGCUGGAUCAUU